AUUGAACGCUGGCGGCAUGCUUUACACAUGCAAGUCGAACGGGCUUAGGUGCUUGCACCUAAGUUAGUGGCGAGCGGGUGAGUAAUGCAUCGGAACGUCCCGUGUAGUGGGGGAUAACCCGGCGAAAGUCGGAUUAAUCCCGCAUACGAUCUAAGGAUGAAAGCAGGGGAUCGACAGCCCUUGCGCUAUACGAGCGGCCGAUGUCGGAUUAGCUAGUUGGUAGGGUAAAGGCCUACCAAGGCAACGAUCCGUAGCGGGUCUGAGAGGAUGAUCCGCCACACUGGGACCGAGACACGGCCCAGACUCCUACGGGAGGCAGCAGUGGGGAAUUUUGGACAAUGGGCGAAAGCCUGAUCCAGCCAUGCCGCGUGAGUGAAGAAGGCCUUCGGGUUGUAAAGCUCUUUUGUCCGGGAGCAAAUCCUGUUCACUAAUACUGAGCGGGGCUGAGAGUACCGGAAGAAUAAGCACCGGCUAACUACGUGCCAGCCGCCGCGGUAA
rnacentral:rRNA from 1 species